rnacentral:tRNA from 1 species
GUGUCUGUAGCUCAGUGGAUAGAGUGUUCUACGCAGGAGGUUGUGGGUUCGAAUCCUACCUGAUGUG